rnacentral:misc_RNA from 1 species
GGCUCGCUUACUCUCCAUCGAUCUCUCCAAUUCAUACUUGUAGCCACUCUCUCCCUCCCUCUCUCUUAAAAAUGGCGCAGACCUCAAUCUUUAUCCUUCUCAUGAGACGCAUCACCAAAGUCUCCCAAAACCCUAAAGCAGCAUUCUCCCCUCUCCUUUCCCUUAAACCUUACUCCACGUCCUCCUUACCAGACCCGCCAAAACCCUCUUCUCUCUCUGCCCGCAUGAGCUUUGUAUUCGAUCAAAUAGAUGCCAUAGAACGUGAACGUGUUCAGAAAGAUGAUACCCUCCAAAGAAUUCGUGCUUGGCGCCAAUCCAAAAAUACCGUCCAACACCAGCAACAAAACCCAGGAACCAUUAGCUCCCAGAAUCCAGAAAUA